AAUAAACGCUGGCGGCGUGCCUAACACAUGCAAGUCGAACGAGAAAGCCCGAUUUCGGUUGGGCGAGUAAAGUGGCGCACGGGUGAGUAACGCGUAGAUAACCUGCCCCUGUGUUCGGGAUAACAGUGCGAAAGCGCUGCUGAUACCGGAUGUGGCCGGGAGACGGUGGUCUUCUGGUCAAAGUCGGCCUCUCGCAGAAGCCGAUGCGCGGGGAUGGGCCUGCGUCCUAUCAGCUAGUUGGUAGGGUAACGGCCUACCAAGGCUUCGACGGGUAGCUGGUCUGAGAGGAUGAUCAGCCACACUGGCACUGAAACACGGCCCAGACUCCUACGGGAGGCAGCAGUGGGGAAUCUUGCGCAAUGCACGAAAGUGUGGCGCAGCAACGCCGCGUGGGGGAAGACGGCCUUCGGGUUGUAAACCCCUUUCAGGAGGGACGAAGCCGGGCCGGUGAAUAGCCGGUCCCGGUGACGGUACCUCCACAAGAAGCCCCGGCUAACUACGUGCCAGCAGCCGCAGUAAAAC
rnacentral:rRNA from 1 species